GUGAUUUCAAGGAACCCCUUGGAUUUAUGUAUAUGUAUAUAAGGACAGCAGAGAACCCUCUUUUGCUAUUUGACUUUGGACUGUUUGGACAGAUUUACACAGGGAGAGACAUCAACAAUCAGGUGAUAAACUCACAAGAAUGGAGGACAAAUGGAUAUCAGAGACUAUAGAAAAGCAGAAGGGAAAAAAACAAGGAUUUGGGAACAACAGGAGUCCAUGCAGAUGAACAGUAUAAGACAGAAAAACAGAGUAAUCUAUUUAAAAGACUUCAUCUUGAAGACAGGCACCACAACAAACUGAGAGCUGCAGAUGUUCUUCUGAUAACCGAACAUUCAUUACAGUCUCGUGAGUCUUGUGUUGAAGAAGAGCUGGUUCAUACUUUUAUACAAAAGCUACUGAUGAUGGUCUACAGAGCAAGAUAUAUUCAUGUUAAAUUGAUCAAUGAACGGGA
rnacentral:lncRNA from 1 species